GUUGCUGCUAAAAGAAAUUAAAAAAAUCAUACGAGAUAGAUAAAGCGAACUAAUAAUGGAGUCACUGACUUUAAAUUAACGAGAAAUCUAUUUAGAAUUCAGUUCUUAGUCUUACAUCGAUAGAUAGUUGAUCUAAGAUCCAGGCAUACAAUCAAAAUGGCGAAAAUAAUUUUAUUAUUAUCUAUUUUCUUAUUAAUCGGCAUAUAUUCUAGUACUGCAUGGGUUAAACCUCCAGGUCCAGGUUGUGACGGCAAAUGGUGUCAUCCAUCAUGGGGUUAUCAUUGUUGUAAACAUCAUGUCUGCAGUGCUCAUUUCUGGCAAGGUGCCUGUAUGCCUAUGUUCGAUUGGAUAUGGUCAAGAGGAUAAUGAAGAAUAAGAAUAAUCCGUCAGAAUAAUUGUCAAGACAAAAAUAACGUAGUUAUUUUGAUUAUUGCUUUGUAUGAUUCUUAAUAAAUAUCUUGAUAAUAUAAACUAA